CAGACUAGAAGACUUUCAAAGCCCCUUCCAGCUCUAUUCUGAUUGAUUGAUUCCUUCCUGUCCCUUCCCUUUCCCCUCCCCUCUCAAGUUGCCAAGGCUGAGAAAUACGGCCGUAAAUCAUUGAACCCCUUUAGAGCUUUCUAACUCCGUAAGUUUGAAAUGGAGGCCCACAGGAACCAUGUGAUCUCCCCAAGCCAAGAUCCAAACCUGUGGUUCAAACAAACCAUGGAUUAACACAGGGUGGAAAGCAGCAUCAGAGACCUCCACCAUAUUUGAGGAGGGUGUGGCUUGUCUUCCCAGGCUUUAGAGGGCGCCUGGGAGGCAUAUCGUCUGUGAGAAGCAAAAUCCUGUAAAGGAACAUGGAUGAGAUAAAAUCCGUUUCCCAUUCAGGCAGCCAGAGAGAAAAUAAAUUGGAAGAUCUGUGUGACAGCUGGCUUUCAAAUAGAGACGCUUGACACCAACUUGUCAUUUUAUAAUAAAUGUAGUUGACAUCUAUGUUUACCGCAAACAAGAUAGUCAGGCAAACAGGAGCAUCAUGAGGUAACUCAUGAGGUAAAUCAUGAGGUAAAUCAUGAGGUCAACGACAGAGUGCACAGGGCAGACAGAAGAAAAACGGCGGGGCAAAAAGGGGAACUCCCCCUGCACCCCCAAAGCGACCAAUCACAGUGCAGAUUGUCUCAGCACUCACCAACCGAUCAACUAUAGGAACAUUGA